rnacentral:rRNA from 1 species
GGGGUGCACCAGGCGCGAAAACUCCACAAUGUACGGAAGUACGAUGGGGUUAUCUCGAGUGCAGUCCGAUAAGGGCUGCUUUUCCAUAGAGUAAUAUCCUGUGGGAAUAAGAGGGGGGCAAGACUGGUGUCAGCCGCCGCGGUAACACCAGCCCCUCGAGUGGUGGGGACUAUUAUUUGGCCUAAAGCGUCCGUAGCUGGCUGUAUCCGUCCCCCGUUAAAUCCAGCGUCCUAAGCGUUGGACUGCGGGUGAUACCAUACAGCUAGAGGGUGGGAUAGGUGAGCGGUAUUUCUGGGGUAGGGGCGAAAUCCUUUGAUCCCAGGAGGACCACCAGUGGCGAAGGCUGCUCACUAGAACACGCCUGACGGUCAGGGACGAAAGCUGGGGCAGCGAACCGGAUUAGAUACCCGGGUAGUCCCAGCUGUAAACGAUGCUAGCUAGGUGUUGGGUCGGCCACGUGCCGCCCCAGUGCCGCAGGGAAGCCGUUAAGCUAGCCGCCUGGGGAGUACGGCCGCAAGGCUGAAACUUAAAGGAAUUGGCGGGGGAGCAC